UCCCUGGUGGCUCAGACGGUAAAGAACCCGCCUGUAAUGCGGGAGAUCCGGGUUGAAUCCCUGGGUUGGGAA
rnacentral:tRNA from 1 species